rnacentral:lncRNA from 10 species
AUUUUAUUCCUCGUGUGUCUUCCAGACCAGAACUGCGAGCAGACACCCCUAGCACCCCGGAAGAUGGGCUAUGGUCUCCGGCCACCUCCUGCCCGUUUCUCAUUAAAGCUUGAGAAGGAGGAGGGUGGCUGUGUCCCAGGAGCUGGGUUGGCACCCUCAGUGAGGUUGUGGGGCUCUCGUGGAGAACACAAACCAUCCCUCAGGACAGCAGCAGCAGGCAAGACCCCAGAUGGUCCUGAUCAAGACAAAGACAAGCCACUCCAGCAUCCUGUCUGAAUACAGACAGAUGGGAGCAUCUCUCAGGCCAGGAGUGCCAGCCGUGUCCCCUCCCAGCCCACAUGGUGACUGCUGCUUUGGCCUUGGUGACAGCCUGUCCUGCCCUUGUCAGGCCUCCCGGGGGAUGAGGUUUAUGAAGCUUCCAGUGUAUACCUACCUCCUCCUGCUUCCUGACAGUGCUCAACUCAGAGCCAGCCCCCUCUCCCGUUAGUCCACCCCUGGCCAGCUGGCACACACACACAGCCUGCGGCAAGGCUCUUCCAAGCCUCUCACUGCACCCUCCACAGCGCCAUGGCAUAUUCUUGCAGAAUGGAACAGUAAAUCCAGCUGUAGUUUAACAACAGGUGUGUCUCUGGUAGGCACACUAGGCAGCGGCUCAUUGGCCUGUAUUUAAAAUAUGAACAUGUGCAUGACUGCAAAGGCCUAGAUCCUCACUUUUUCCUACAAACCAGAAUUGCUGUUCUCAAAGUUUAAACCACAUUUGCAAUACAUGAGAUCGAUCCACAGCCUGAGUGGAAGGAGCCACAUGCAGGGGAUAGGGGGCCAGGCCACCCUUGGGCAGAGAAUGUGGGUGCAUGGAGAGGGUGUGUGGGGCAGGAAGGAUCCCUGAGUGUUUCGAGCAAAGAGUGUGUGAUCCUGCCUGCCCUUGGUGCCGUCCACUGGGGCUGGUCAGUGAGGCCGAGUCCAUCAUGGUGGUGGGGACACAUGGCAAAACUAGAAGCCCUGGGGGAGCUGGGGGAAGGGAGCAGGCACCCAUUAUGCUGCCGUUGCAGUUUUCUAUAAGUUCUAUAAUUAUUUCAAAAUAAAAUAUUUUAAAAUGACCAUGUCCCUAAAGGAGGGAUAAUAGUAAGCCUCACAAUAGAGAUUAGUCUGUACUCAGACCCACUUCAGCUCCAGCUGUGAAGCUUCUUCUGCUCUCCGAUUCCAGAGCCUGAUGGUGUUAAGGAGGCCCCUGUGGAUGUUACAGCGAUGUGGAUG